rnacentral:rRNA from 1 species
UACGUAGGGGCAAGCGUUGUCCGGAGUUACUGGGCGUAAAGCGCACGCAGGCGGUCUUUUAAGUUUGGAGUGACAGUUGGUGGCUUAACUGCCAAAGUGCUUCGAAACUGACAGACUUGAGGGCUUCAGAGGGACACGGAAUUCCGGGUGGAGUGGUGAAAUGCGUAGAGAUCCGGAGGAACACCAAAGGCGAAGGCAGUGUCCUGGGGAGUACCUGACGCUCAGGUGCGAAAGCCAGGGAGCGAACGGG